rnacentral:lncRNA from 1 species
AAGAGAAUUGAUAAUUGAACCAAAUGUUCCAACUGUCAAACCAUUUAUUCACUAUAUCUAAAGCUUUAUUCUCCUUAACUUGAGUUUCCAACAAAGAAAAAACCUAUAUAUUGUAAUUAUUCACAAAACUACUCGAAAAUUUCUAUUUUCGGGGCAUAUUAAACCCACAAAAAUUCCAAGUGAGCAUUAUCAUUUACACGAGGGAGGAUGUCUCUUACUUAACCUCUCUGUUUGCGUGCGCUUAUUAACCCGCAAAGGGGGAAACAAAGUAUCAUUCAACUUUGUAUAGCCAUCAAGUCCAUCUAGAAUGUCAAAGGAGUCUGAGCUAGGAGGAGAUGAGUGCAAAACCAAAGCAUGUUAAUUGUUUUCAGGAGAAGAAGGAAUAGAAGCAAGCGUGGUCGGACUGAGCACGUGUUCAACCCAAACUUUUGUAGCCUGCAAGGCACAAACUAUAACUACAUCAUCAACAUGGAGAGUUGAAGGAUGAGAAUCAGUCUUAACUUCAACGGAAACAACUUCAACAGGUAAAGUUGAAGAAUGAGAAUCAGUCUCAACUUCCACAAUUCCAAUCUCUCCAAAGUUAGAGUCAGCAGGGAUCCCUUUUCCCAAAUCUACAACAAGGGAAGAGUCAGGUGUAACCUCAUCUCCAUUAGGAGAUUCAGGCACAUUGCCUGUCGAGCUUACUUGCUGCGUCACAACAGGAGGAAUGUUCUUCGGGAUCCAUUGCUGUUCAUUCUUGCCAGAAUAAGUACCGUGAGUUGGGAAAUGAAUCUUGAUAACCAAUUUAAUCUUAUCUUUCAGCAAACAAGUAAGACUAUCAAUAGGAGGUAUGUCCUGAAUGACACAAACCUUCAUAGUUGAUCCUUCUCGAACGAAUUGAUGAAUAGGGGUGCCCACUUGACUUGCAAGCCAGCUGAUUCCAGAAUCAGAUAGCAAAGUCGGAUGGACAUUAGAGAAGGUCACCCAAACAUGCUCAACAUAAGAGGCAAUUGGAACAGGCGCAAUAUCAAUCUUCCAACGACGGAAAAAGAUAGCAGAGUUAUGAAUAUGUCAGGAUCUUUCCAAAACCCAUUCUCUCAAAUGAAGCCGAUAAAAUGACUUGUCCAUCAUACUCCCAAAGCCUUCGAGCCAUUGCUGUGAGAACCCUAAUCGAAGGAACAUCUCCCAUGAAUUGACCAACUAGAGUCUAUUGCAAUCGCUUUUCACCCAGAUCUUUAACCGCUAAAGGAAUGACUAGAAGUCCAUCAACCAUUGACUUACAAGAUUUCUCAAUGAAUCAGAGAUCAUGCUUAGAAUCAGCAACAAGAGAAGCGCAUGUUGCUGGAGGAGAAACGGGUGUCGCGGAAGAGGAAGCCAUGACAAUGAAGCAAAGAGCGAUUCAAUGAGAAACGAGCAAAAUCGAUGGAAAAAAGCCAGAGAUCAGAGAUCCGCUGGCAAUCAACGACAACUAAGCGACCCCAAUGGAGCUCACCCAUAGAGGGAAUCGCCGAGAAGCCAUCGAUCAAAGCAACAAUGAAAUGCAACUCAGGUUGAGAGGUUCCAAUCUGGGCCACGCGCGAUAUCUCAAGUAAUUUUUAUUUGUGGAUGAUUGCACUCGUUUUAUUUGGAUUUAUU